GCCGGGCGACGUGGCGGGCACCUGUAGUCCCAGCUACUCGGGAGGCUGAGGCAUGAGAAUGGCCUGAACCCGGGAGGCGGAGCUUGCAGUGAGCUGAGAUCCGGCCACUGCACUCCAGCCUGGGUGAUAGAGUGAGACUUGUCUCAAAAAAAUAAAAAAUAAAAAUAAAUAGAAAUUUACUCAAAGAUUCUUUUUCUUUUUCUUUCUCUUUUUUUUUGAGAUGGAGUCUCGCUCUGUCACCCAGGCUGGAGUGCAGUGGAGUGAUCUCGGCUCACUGCAACCUCCGCCUCCCGGGUUCAAGCGAUUCUCCUGCCUCAG
rnacentral:SRP_RNA from 1 species